rnacentral:rRNA from 1 species
UGCAGUCGAGCGCGGGAAGCGAGCUGAUCCCUUCGGGGUGACGCUCGUGGAACGAGCGGCGGACGGGUGAGUAACACGUGGGCAACCUGCCUGUAAGAUCGGGAUAACUCCGGGAAACCGGGGCUAAUACCGGGUAAUACUUUCUUUCGCAUGAAGGAAAGUUGAAAGAUGGCUUCUCGCUAUCACUUACAGAUGGGCCCGCGGCGCAUUAGCUAGUUGGUGAGGUAACGGCUCACCAAGGCGACGAUGCGUAGCCGACCUGAGAGGGUGAUCGGCCACACUGGGACUGAGACACGGCCCAGACUCCUACGGGAGGCAGCAGUAGGGAAUCUUCCGCAAUGGACGAAAGUCUGACGGAGCAACGCCGCGUGAACGAUGAAGGUCUUCGGAUCGUAAAGUUCUGUUGUUAGGGAAGAACAAGUACCGUGCGAAUAGAGCGGUACCUUGACGGUACCUAACGAGGAAGCCCCGGCUAACUACGUGCCAGCAGCCGCGGUAAUACGUAGGGGGCAAGCGUUGUCCGGAAUUAUUGGGCGUAAAGCGCGCGCAGGCGGUUCCUUAAGUCUGAUGUGAAAGCCCACGGCUCAACCGUGGAGGGUCAUUGGAAACUGGGGAACUUGAGGACAGAAGAGGAGAGUGGAAUUCCACGUGUAGCGGUGAAAUGCGUAGAUAUGUGGAGGAACACCAGUGGCGAAGGCGACUCUCUGGUCUGUUU